UCCCUCUCCCUACACCACACACACACACGCACGCACGCACACACACGCACGCACGCGCACACACACACGCGCACACACACGCACACGCCCGCGCACACACUCUCUCACACACACACAGAGAUUGGAGAGAGACAGGAGAGAGACAUGUUUUCAUCUAUCCUUUGUGGACUUCUGUUGUUUUUACUGCUGUGAAAUUUGACUUGCGAUAUCUGCUUGUAAAACAUCAUCAAAUCCAAAUUCAUUAUAUUCCACUUUUUCUAUUACAUGGUUUCUGCUUCACUGAUUCAUAUCUGUUUUACCUAUUCUGUAAGGGAGGAGAAGCUGCAAAGCAAUGAAGAGAAAAGCUGAAGUCAGUGAUUAGGAGUGUCUGUGUAAGUAAAAGCAACAGGCAAUUACUGAGUGUGGUGUGAGAGGCACGGAAAGAUUGGGAAUUCAGCAAGAAGAGGAAUUGAAGUCAAACCUCACCUACUUCCCAGAGUCUUCUGGAUUUUCUGUUAGAAGCUUCAGUAUCUGAGGAAAGGACUCAGGCAACAAAUAAACAGCUAAGAUUUUACUAGAGUAUGAAAGGGAGAGCACUGGAGUGCAGUGCGGGGAUGGAGAUGCAGCUGUGGUGGCUGGAAGUACAGGAGGGCAGCUGGAGGCACCUGGCCUCUGAAGCCUGUCUUCUUCAUCUGGGUGAGAUCUGCUGGAGUCAGGAAGGACUUCCUGCUGCAAGGAUAAAGGUGAAGUGUGGUGGCGUAAUCAUGACUCACUGCAGCCUCGAACUCCGGGACUCAAGCUAAUCUCUUUCCUCAGCCUUCCCAGCAGCUGGGACUACAGAAUCCCACCCAUCCUAAGGCAUUACAUUUAGUCAUCAUAGCUCUUUCUUCACAGAAUUAGAAAAAACUACUUUAAAUUUCAUAUGGAACCAAAAAAGAGCCCAUAUAGCCAAGAAAAUCUUAAGCAAAAAGAACAAAGAUGGAGGCAUCAUGCUAACUGACUUCAAACUAUACUACAAGGCUACAGUAACCAAAACAGCAUGGUACUGGUGCCAAAACAGAUAUAUAGACCAAUGGAAUAGAACAGAGGCCUCAGAAAAACGUCACCCAUCUACAACCAUCUGAUCUUCAACAAAUCUGACAAAAACAAAUAAUGGGGAAGAAAUUCUGUAUUUAAUAAAUGAUCUUGGGAAAACUGGCUAGCCACAUGCAGAAAACUGAAGCUGGGCUCCUUCCUUACACCUUAUACAAAAAUUAACUCAAGAUGGAUUAAAGACUUAAACGUAAGACCUAAAACCAUAGAAACCCUAGAAGAAUACCUAGGCAAUACCAUUGAGGACACAGACAUGGGCAAAUGACUAAAGCAACAAAAGCCAAAAUUGACAAAUGGGAGCUAAUUAAACUAAAGAGCUUCUGAACAGCAAAAGAAACUAUCAUCAGAGUGAACAGGCAACCUACAGAAUGGGAGAAAAUUUUUGCAAUCUAUCCACCUGACAAAGGGCUAAUAUCCAGAAUCUACAAAUAACUUAAACAAAUUUACAAGAAAAAAAACAAACAACCCCAUCAAGAAGUGGGUGAAGGAUAUGAAAAGACACUUCUCAAAAGAAGACAUUUAUGUGGCCAACAAACAUGAAAAAAAGCUCAUCAUCACUGGGCAUUAGAGAAAUGCAAAUCAAAACCACAAUGAGAUACCAUCUCACGCCAGUUAGAAUGGCGAUCUUUAAAAAGUCAGGAAACAACAGAUGCUGGAGAGGAUGUGGAGAGAUAGGAAUGCUUUUACACUGUUGGUAGGAGUGUAAAUUAGUUCAGCAAUUGUGGAAGACUGUGUGGAGAUUCCUCAAGGAUCUAGAACCAGAAAUGCCAUUUGACCGAGCAAUCCCAUUACUGGCUAUAUACCCAAAGGAUUAUAAAUCAUUCUACUAUAGAGACACAUCCACCUGUAUGUUGAUUGCAGCACUGUUCACAAUAGCAAAGACUUGGAACCAAUGCAAAUGCCCAUCAAUGAUCGGCUGGAUAAAGAAAAUGUGGCACAUAUACACCGUGAAAUACUAUGUAGCCAUAAAAAAGGAUGAGUUCAUGUCCUUUGCAGGGAUAUGGAUGAAGCUGGAAACCAUCAUUCUCUGCAAACUAAUACAGGAACAGAAUGCCAAACACCACAUGUUCUCACUCAUAAGUGGGAGUUGAACAAUGAGAACACAUGAAUACCGGGAGGGAACAUCACACACCAGGGCCUGUCAGAGGGUCGGGGGCUAGGGAAGGGAUAGCAUUAGGAGAAAUACCUAAUGUAGAUUAUGGGUUGAUGGGUGCAGCAAACCACCAUGGCACAUGUAUAGCUAUGUAACAAACCUGCACGUUCUACACAUGUAUCCCAGAACUUAAAGCAUAAGUAAAAUAAAAAAAUAAUUAAAUGAGGAAGAAGAGUCAAAUUUUUGUGCAGAAAAAUUUGAAAGAAUUUAUGUAGAUACUACUUCCUCAAUGAGGAAGAGCAUAACUCUAUGCUCUUUAAGUCGGACAUGAACAUACUCAUUUCUUUCAAAAGAGUACAAUAUGAAAAGAGGGAAAAAGAAUAACUGUACAGUAAAGAAACCUGACAAUUGCUACCUUGGCCAAGUGACCCAGGUCAACAUCAACAGUGAUAGUGACGUUUAUGUCAUGUCCACUUGAAAUGAUGUGAUUAAAAAAAGGCACUUUACCUCUGUGUUCUUCUUCCUAUUCCCAUAAUUCCAGACUAAUUAUUUAAAAAUUUUCAUAUGUAUUCCAAUUAAAGAACAUUCUAAAAAAUACCCAACUGGUAAUUCUCAAAACUGCCUAGGUCAUCGAAACAAGCAAAAUUUGAGAAACUGUUACAUUUAUGGAUUUUUAAAUAUUGAAACAAAUCUCAUAUUUCUGGGAUGAAAUCUACUUCAUUAUGAAGCAUUAUCCUUUUAAAUAUAUUGCUUGAAUUAAUUUGCUAAAAUACUGUGUAGGAUUUUGCAUCUAUACUAAUGAGAGAUAGUGAUCUUUAGUUUUCUUUUUUCUUUUGUUUUGUUUUCUGAAACAGAGUCUUCUUGCUCUAUCGCCCAGGCUGGAGUGCAGUAGCAUGAUCAUAGCUCACUGCUGCCUCAAACUGAAGCAAUUAAAGACUGCU
rnacentral:lncRNA from 1 species